GGGCGCAUAGCUCAGCUGGGAGAGCACCUGUCUUACAAGCAGGGGGUCAUAGGUUCGAGCCCUGUUGCGCCCACCA
rnacentral:tRNA from 1 species